CGGAGCUGCGUAUCUCCUUCCCUGCCACUGGCUGUCAGAGACCCAAUGAAGUGGAUGGUGAACACAGAUUUCAUACUUUCUGAGAAGUGCAUGGUCACAGAAGUAGCUGCCGGUACUCUGGUGAAGAGUGGAAGGGUUGUGUAGUUGGAAUCUGUGGUAGGGACAACAAAAAACUUUCCCAUGAAGCAAGGCAUCUUGGUCCACAUCAUAGUGUACCUGCUGUUGAGUAAGAGGAGUUCUUGUUAGAGACUAACCAGAACUGGAGAGAGGAAGUGCAAAUCUAUUCAGGAAUGUGUUACAGAUGCCAACCUCAGUGUUCUUAAUUGGUUUAUUGGGGAUAAAAGGAGAAAUAUAUUCUCUGAGUGACAGGUGUUACUGUGCCUCAGCAGUUAGGGCCCAGAAGAGCUAGUAGAAUCCAAAAACAUUUCAUUCCCUCUAAAAGGGAUGAAAAAAAAAAAUGAUGUCUGCCAAUAUGUCCUCAGAAAGCCCUUAAAAAGAAAAGAAGCCCAGAACCAAAGCACCCAAGACUCAUCAUCUUGUCAAUCCACAUACUCUGUAACACAAACACCAACUUGUU
rnacentral:lncRNA from 1 species